CCUUCCCCUAGAGGCUUGCAGGAGUGGCUGCUGUGUCGCGUGUGUGUCAGUAAGUGGCAGAGAGGAAAGAGGCUGUGUCCAGGCUUGGUGUUCUGACCUGUGAACAUCUGAAUGACUAGCAACCUAACAUC
ensembl:snoRNA